UUACAAACUACACCCCAUUUUGUUUUUUUAAUAGUAUUUCAUGUCACCUAUUUUUAUACUUCCUAAAACACCCUCAAGGUCAGAUUUUUUUUCUUUUUCUUUUUGGGUCUUUUCUUCUCUCUGUCCCCCUCUCUUCCAGACCACCACCAAGGGCCUCUUUCUCCCGUCUGCACGGUGCAUGCUACCUAAUCUGUCUCUAUCUCUCUCCCUCAGGGUCCUCUGUGGUAAAUCCUUCGAGUCUCGCCCAGAAAACCCAAAUCAAUUUCCCCCAAAUUUUUGUCUCAGAAUUUUGGUUGCAGACGGGGAUCGAUCUCGACCGGUUUAAAUGACGGCGGUGGGAAUAGACUCUAGGAUGCUAAAGCGAAUCAGGAGAAGGCCCCGGUCCGCCUGGGACGUCGGCCCCUCCGAGUACGAACCAGAGGCGCAACGGCCAUUAUUGGCGGGUAAUCAAGCGAAUGGAAGAAAUGGUUCGCCUCCGAAACGAGACGAUGAUUACGAUUAAGCAUGAGGUGGAUGUGCUUAAUCGUAUUGCCAAGAAUGAUACUAGCAACUCAUGCUGUGUGCAGAUUCGCGAUUGGUUUGAUUACGGCAAUCACAUAUGCAUAGUGUUUGAGAAGCUUGGACCAAGCUUAUUUGAUUUUCUGAAAAAAAAAAAAAAAAAAAAAGGGCCUCUCAUUCGUUGAUAGGCUGAGUUUCAAUUUCACUCUAAUGGAGUUAUUAAUGUUCAAUUCUUUUGAUUGUUGUUCUUAAAUUUCGUACUUGGAGGAAACAGGGGAAAUGGAAAUGUAAAAGGGAGCUUCUGGUCUUGAUUUUGAUUGAUUUUUAAAGGGAUGAUGAGGAACUAAGGAGGACUGCAUGAUGCACCAGGUCAUUGAGACUAUUGUCUCGGCAGAAAUGGUACAGGGUAAGAAUUCCAAGCCUUUGAGUUGUGAAUGUGUUUCUGUUGGGAUAUUGAGAUUAAUUAAAUCUGUAAUUUUGUGGUGGAGAUGAAUAGAUGGAAUUGAUGUAUAAAAGCAUUAGAUUGAUUGAAUUUGGGAUGCCUAUGAAUUUUAUUAAUACGAAAUUGAUAUGCUUCUGCUAUUUGUUUUGGGUUGACGGUAGUUGAACUAAAAUUUGUAGUCUUUCUUUAUGUUUAUAUAUCUGCAAAGGGAACUGACAGAAAAGAAGAUGGGUAUUCCUAAUCCAGCAUGCCGAGUGCAUGCUACCUAAACGCAGAGAAUGAAGCAAAGGAGAUCGAAAUCACGACCUGCAGGUUUUGGAGCUUGAUGUGGCUCCAGAUCUGCUUCACGGCUUCUCUUGGGCUUGAUCGCGUCGGCGUCUGCUUUGGGCUUCGCCUUCGCCUUCGAUUUUGGUGCGGCGGCGGCGGCGACCUUGACGGCGGUUCCAGCAGUGGAUGUGGAGGACUUGGCCGGCAGUGGGAAGAAGAACGGGGACCUUGGUGGUGGUCUGGAAGAGAGAGGGGGGAGGGUGUUUUAGGAAGUGUAAAAAUAGGUGACAUGAAAUACUAUUAAAAAAAUAAAAGGGGGUGUGGUUUGUAAAUUUGGGGGUGCAAAUUUCACCCCCCUAAAGGGAAAUACUAAAUUAUCUUCAUCUUAAAAAAAAAAAAAAAAAAAUCUUCCAUUAACUUCCUCACUCCGCCGCAGACACUCUCGACCGUCCAGAUGCAGUUGUGGCUGCAUUGCCUGUAGACAAGAAAAUAAGCCCCGCAGUGUGAAAUAGAUGUGCUCAGCAAAUGGAGCUUGCCACCAAGUAAGGAGUUGCGGGGGGCAAAAGACUUCAUCAAGAAAUACUUGGAGACAGAGGGUCAGAAUAUAGGAACUAUUCAUGCUGCAGACUUUCUGGGAUCCAUUCAUUCACUUCCAAUUGUCAUGAUCGAGACAGAAAGAGGAAGACUUGAGAAAUACAAAGCUAAGGCGUGCUUAUGCAGAUUGCAGAUCAAAGUUUUGAGUCCUGAAAUUUUUUCAGAUGGCAAGAAAAAUUGCAUCAAAUUAAGUAAAUCAUGUAAGGUCAUAGUGAAGGGCGAGAGGUUUGGACUGGAAACAAAGAAAAACGACGAAUCUUGGUAUUAUUGCUGGUGUGGCUGCUCUGGUUUUUGGAUCCAAGAAGUUACCUGAAGUGGGCAAGAGUUUGGGAAAGACUAUCAAGAGCUUCUAACAGGUUCUAGGUACUCCAGAUAUUGAUAGAAAUUGCUGGAAGUGGUACAUCAGUUGGUUGGGCAAAUUGAUGAUGCAAUAUUAGUGAAGGUAACGGAAACAUACCUCUUAUUGUAUCAAUUCUAGUGAAAAUGUGGGAGGACCACCAUCUUCUCGGCAAGUUGGAAAGCAAGCUGCAUUUGUCUCUUGAAUCUGAACUUUCCAAGUUGAAUGACCAUUAGAAGCUUCAUAACCGAUGAUGAUUUUGUAAAUGACUACAUUGGUAGUCGAUUUGUGUGUCUAUAUUUUGAGAUCGACCUAGGUAUUAUGUUCAAUUUGGCAACCAAUGCAUCGCUGUUUACGUUUCUGUGCUUUGAGACCUCUAUCAUAUAUGUGCAUAUAAGUCUUCUACCCACAAACA